UUGUCUUUGGUGGGAGAUCUAAGGUGCAAUUGACCUGGGAGCACCUUUCUUCUGAGGAUCCCAGAAUGCUUGGCACAUGUUCAGGAAGCCUUGCUGUGUCCCCAGGAAGAAGCUAAUAUUUUCGUAUGACAGAUGGGGAACCUGAAGCACAGACUGGGGAAAUACUUUGUCCAAGAUUUCAUGCAACUUUGAGUUCUCGGCUGCCCGUGUUAUCAACAGCUCA